rnacentral:rRNA from 1 species
CCUACGGGGGGCAGCAGUGAGGAAUAUUGGUCAAUGGGCGCAACUCUGAACCAGCCAAGUAGCGUGCAGGAUGACGGCCCUAUGGGUUGUAAACUGCUUUUAUCCGGGGAUAAAGCGCGUCACGUGUGGCGUAUUGCAGGUACCGCAUGAAUAAGGACCGGGUAAUUCCGUGCCAGCAGCCGCGGUAAUACGGGAGGUUCGGGCGUUAUCCGGAUUUAUUGGGGUUAAAGGGAGCGGAGGCCGCAAGUUAAGCGUGUUGUGAAAUUGCCGGGGUCAACCCCGGCCCUGCAGCGGGAACUGGGGUGCUUGAGUGCGCGGGAGGUAGGCGGAAUUCGUGGUGUAGCGGUGAAAUGCUUAGAUAUCACGAAGAACUCCGAUUGCGAAGGCAGCUUACCGUAGCGGAACUGACGCUGAGGCUCGAAGGCGCGGGUAUCGAACAGGAUUAGAUACCCCUGUAGUC